rnacentral:rRNA from 1 species
AGUGAACGCUGGCGGUAGGCCUAACACAUGCAAGUCGAACGGCAGCACAGUAAGAGCUUGCUCUUACGGGUGGCGAGUGGCGGACGGGUGAGGAAUACAUCGGAAUCUACUUUUUCGGGGGGGUUAACGUAGGGAAACUUACGCUAAUACCGCAUACGACCUACGGGUGAAAGCAGGGGAUCUUCGGACCUUGCGCGAUUGAAUGAGCCGAUGUCGGAUUAGCUAGUUGGCGGGGUAAAGGCCCACCAAGGCGACGAUCCGUAGCUGGUCUGAGUGGAUGAUCAGCCACACUGGAACUGAGACACGGUCCAGACGCCUACGGGAGGCAGCAGUGGGGAAUAUUGGACAAAGGGCGCAAGCCUGAUCCAGCCAUACCGCGUGGGUGAAGAAGGCCUUCGGGUUGUAAAGCCCUUUUGUUGGGAAAGAAAAGCAGCAGGUUAAUACCCCGCUGUUCUGACGGUACCCAAAGAAUAAGCACCGGCUAACUUCGUG